rnacentral:rRNA from 1 species
UGAGUAGGCGGUUGCAUAUGUCAGAUGUAAAAGGCACAGGCUUAACUUGUGUUAGCAUUUGAAACUGUGCGACUUGAGUGCAGGAGAGGUAAGUGGAAUUCCUAGUGUAGCGGUGAAAUGCGUAGAUAUUAGGAGGAACACCAGUGGCGAAGGCGACUUACUGGACUGUAACUGACGCUGAGUCACGAAAAGCGUGGGUAGCAAACA